GCCUACGGGGGGCAGCAGUAGGGAAUUUUCGUCAAUGGGCGCAAGCCUGAACGAGCAAUGCCGCGCGAACGAGGAAGGUCUUCGGAUCGUAAAGUUCUGUUGAAGGGGAAAAAGAGCGGAGAGAGGAAAUGGUCUCCGAUUGAUAUUACCCUUCGAGGAAGUCACGGCUAACUACGUGCCAGCAGCCGCGGUAAUACGUAGGGGGCGAGCGUUAUCCGGAAUGAUUGGGCGUAAAGGGUGCGUAGGCUGCCUGCUAAGUCUGGAGUGAAAGGUACCGGCUCAACCGGUACAGGCUCUGGAAACUG
rnacentral:rRNA from 1 species